rnacentral:rRNA from 1 species
UACGGAGGAUCCAAGCGUUAUCCGGAUUUAUUGGGUUUAAAGGGUGCGUAGGUGGGAUAAUAAGUCAGAGGUGAAAGCUAGCAGCUUAACUGUUAAAUUGCCUUUGAUACUGUUAUUCUUGAGUAUAGUUGGCGUUGGCGGAAUGUGACAUGUAGCAGUGAAAUGCGUAGAUAUGUCACAGAACACCGAUCGCGAAGGCAGCUAACGAAACUAUCACUGACACUGAUGCACGAAAGCGUGGGGAGCAAACAGG